AUUGAACGCUGGCGGCAGGCUUAACACAUGCAAGUCGAGCGGGGGAAGGUAGCUUGCUACCGGACCUAGCGGCGGACGGGUGAGUAAUGCUUAGGAAUCUGCCUAUUAGUGGGGGACAACAUCUCGAAAGGGAUGCUAAUACCGCAUACGUCCUACGGGAGAAAGCAGGGGACCUUCGGACCUUGCGCUAAUAGAUGAGCCUAAGUCGGAUUAGCUAGUUGGUGGGGUAAAGGCCUACCAAGGCGACGAUCUGUAGCGGGUCUGAGAGGAUGAUCCGCCACACUGGGACUGAGACACGGCCCAGACUCCUACGGGAGGCAGCAGUGGGGAAUAUUGGACAGUGGGGGGAACCCUGAUCCAGCCAUGCCGCGUGUGUGAAGAAGGCCUUAUGGUUGUAAAGCACUUUAAGCGAGGAGGAGGCUACUCUAGUUAAUACCUAGGGAUAGUGGACGUUACUCGCAGAAUAAGCACCGGCUAACUCUGUGCCAGCCGCCGCAGUAA
rnacentral:rRNA from 1 species